rnacentral:rRNA from 1 species
GGAAGUAAAAGUCGUAACAAGGUCUCCGUAGAGCAGUGAUCUCUCUGCAGCGAACUUAAGGAAGCCUUUGCACCCCUAACGGGGGCUCUCGCGACUCUAAAUAAGGAGGCAUGCAAGUGACAAAGCCCAACGGCUGAGUUGCAACACAAUCGAAUUGCGGGGAAGUCCUAAAGCCUCAGGGUACUAACCUGCUGUAGGAAUGCAGCAGGGGCCUGUGUUAAUCGCACAGGGUAUAGUAACAACCCCGGAGGAUCUAGCCAGGUGUGCUAGAAUGGACGAUCCGCAGCGAAGCCCCUAGACCAGGGGAACGUUCACAGACUAAGUGGUUGUGGGUAGGAGGGACUCCUGCUUAAGAUAUAGUCGGGCCGGCGCGGAAACGCGCUGGGGAUUCGCAAGAACGUAAACCGCUCCGUAGGUGAACCUGCGGAGGGAUC